rnacentral:rRNA from 1 species
UACGGAGGGGGCUAGCGUUGUUCGGAAUUACUGGGCGUAAAGCGCGCGUAGGCGGCUUUGUAAGUUAGAGGUGAAAGCCCGGAGCUCAACUCCGGAAUUGCCUUUAAGACUACAUCGCUAGAAUCAUGGAGAGGUUAGUGGAAUUCCGAGUGUAGAGGUGAAAUUCGUAGAUAUUCGGAAGAACACCAGUGGCGAAGGCGACUAACUGGACAUGUAUUGACGCUGAGGUGCGAAAGCGUGGGGAGCAAACAGG